rnacentral:rRNA from 1 species
GACGUAGGGCGCGAGCGUUGUCCGGAUUUAUUGGGCGUAAAGAGCUCGUAGGCGGUUUGUUGCGUCGGCUGUGAAAUCCCGAGGCUCAACCUCGGGUCUGCAGUCGAUACGAGCAAACUAGAGUGUUGCAGGGGAGACUGGAAUUCCUGGUGUAGCGGUGAAAUGCGCAGAUAUCAGGAGGAACACCGGUGGCGAAGGCGGGUCUCUGGGCCGAUAUUGACGCUGAGGAGCGAAAGCGUGGGGAGCGAACAGG